GUUAUAGCAUCCUGAGCGGACUAUGAUGAAUAGCAUAGCCAAAUUAGGAUAACUGGAGAGGGAUGGCUUACAAGGGCAAGGGUCAGGCAUAAGGAACCACAGGAAGAGGCUCUCUAGUUCAGCAGUAAUGUCGUCGUUAGCACCCAAGGCCCAAACGAGGAAGCAGAGUCAUGCAUGAGAGUCAACUGUCAGGAAACAGUGAGCUGCAGCCCAAGGACAGGCCAGCGGGGGCUGUCGCCAGGGAGGAAGUGCAGUCCACAUGCCGUCUCUAUCCAAGCUCCAGCUCCCUCUGCCAUUCUCCUGCCUCAGAACAGGGAAAAGGUGCUCUGAAGCUGCGCUCCCUUCCACUCAGCCAGAGAAGACCAGCAGACCAGGGGCCAGAGGCAGAGAAAUGCAUGCAAGUGGCUCCUCCCUGCAAAUCAGAACAUCUGACCCUGGCCCAGCACCGGACUCCUGUCCUGGAUGUGGUCUCAACAGCACAGCCUUGGAGCAAACCCAGGGAGCUCGAAUGAGUGACGGUCCUGGUGUGGGUUCAGCCAUAACCUCCAGGACAGAUGAGAGCAGGCACUUCUAAAGGGUGGCCCUUCCGAGAGGGAAAGGCCUGGAGCCUUACGCUGGAGCAUGCUCACUCUGGGGGUCUAGCGCCGAGUCCCGGGUCCUGAGGGACACACUGUGAGCCUGGAGUUGGUGACGGCUGGGGACAUACUGUGAGCCUGGAGCUGAUGACAGCUGGAACCGGACGGUGCACUGUGAGCCUGGAGCUGGUGACGGCUGGGGACAUACUGUGAGCCUGGAGCUGGUGGCUGCUGGAGACAUACUGUGAGCCUGGAGCUGGUGACGGCUGGAACCAGACAUUGCACUGUGAGCCUGCAGCUGGUGACAGCUGGGGACAUACUGUGAGCCUGGACCUGGUGACGGCUGGAACCGGACGGUGCACUGUGAACCUGGAGCUGAUGACAGCUGGGGACAUACUGUGAGCCUGGAGCUGGUGACGGCUGGGGACAUACGGUGAGCCUGGAGCUGGGACUGGCUGGGACAGGCUGGUGCUGUGUGGUCGGCUUUGAUCAUCAGCACGUGCUUGGAACUGUCACUCAGAACUCUGGGCUGUGGUGGCAUUUAGUGCACUGAGUUUUGACCUGUCCUGAGCCCUACAAACCUAACUUGUUGUUUUCUAAAAUUAAGGCCAAAAUGCCAGCAAAGCAAGCAUUAUUCCACCCGGUUACCUGCCCACAUCUGCACCAGACACUGCCACCG
rnacentral:lncRNA from 1 species